UUGAAUUGGUUUUUGUUCUCACGAGUAUAUUGGCAAAAGCAAAAUCGAAUUCAGAGUCACGAAGAUCAAGUUAUAAUUUUUGAAGUUUGAAGGGCAAAAUUGUAAUUUCUACUUGAGCAGCCUAGGAAUCGAAUGGGUGGAUUGCAUGUGCAAUCCAGCGAUGGGAAGGAAGAGAACUCAAGCUUAGGUUCUCGGUGAAAGUUUUCGAUGAGUUCGAGGUGAAACUCGAAACUGGUGGAAUUCUCCGAUGAUUGUCGAAUCCGAGGUGAUUCGACCCCGAAUCAUUCAAAGUCAGACUUAGAAUCUGGCAAACCUUCGGCGGCGAAACACAGCGAUCACGACGCUCUCCGUUAUUUAACGGUAACGACGAUGGAUUUCGUUAGAUAUAACGGAUCUCUACUGGCAAGGUUAUAUUCUGUUAACCUUCAAUCUGUAAACCGACGACCGGAGCGUGGCCUCGGCCACUUCAACGUGUACUCGCCGAUCGGCGGCGGUGAGUACGGCAGCCCGUAUGCCGGCGAUGUCAAUGACGAUGGCGGCGUGUGCAGUAGUGCGUGAAGUGAUGCGUGAGGACCCGAGACCUAACCCAAGGUGCGCUUGAGUAGCCUAGGCAAAGGCAAAGAGAAACACACAUAAUUUCUGUAAGUGGAUCCCCUUCAAAACUCACCUGCUUUUUUUUUACACUAUUGAUGAAAUUAAAUGCUUUUAAGUAUUCUUGGAUGAGACUUAAAUAGAAAUUGGUUAGAUGACCAUAUAAAUGAUUUACUUAUGUUGGUAAUUUAUUUUCACCGCAUGGUCUGUUAUAUAUCGAGUAUAGAUAUAUGCGGCCAUAGGAUAUUUGCAUGUGAUGCAAUAUUUUUAAUAGAGGUUAGAUAUGCUAGUAGAUGCUAGUUGUGCACAGGUAGACGCUCGUGUACUCAUAUGUGUUGUACUCUUACUAGCUCAAUUGUAGAGAAGCUCGAUUCUUCUUUUUGUGUAGCGAGAUAUGCCUAGAUUCCGAUUACAUCCCUUUUUGUGUAAGUUCCUAGAAUUGAUUUUUUUAACAAUUUUGUCAAUUUAUUUUGAGGGUAUUAGAGAUUAGACAAACAUAACUAUACAUUAAGACCUCGUAAAAGAUUAUUGAAGCGCUCAACAUAUAUUUUGUUCGAUCGUCAAAAGUUUACAAUGAUAAUCAUAAUUUCGGCCAAAAAACUUCAUUGGUCGAGCUCCUAAUUCGUACCUACGGAGGUAGAGUGUCUUGUCGAUUUCUGCCAAGGCUUGUCGAGCGAGACAUAUUAUCAAACGCAACAUGGGGACCAUAAGGUCACACACAAGAAAUAAGGGAAGAAAGACAAAAGAAGAGAAAUAAGUAAAUUUACAAAUAACUAUACAUAGGGUUACACAAAAGAAAUAGCACGUUGAAUAAUUUAGUAUUUUUACUUAUUCUUUUAGUUAAUAUACAUUGAGAUCAUGAAACUAUUAGAGUCAUGAACAACCAAUAACCCAUGUUGAGUUGUUAGGGUAAAAUUGGCUAUUCCUAAACAAAACGUCUGAGUCUGUAAUCUUAGACUAGUACAUAUUUUCCGUUGUAAUUAUUUUAGUCUAAGUUUGUUUCUUGGCUCUCUAUCAUAAAACUGGCAAGCGUUUCAGAGACAUCCACUCAGGUAUGUUUGCAUGCAUGCAUCCAACUACAUCUAUAUCACAUGGUAUUGUAUUUGGGAUAGGACUUUUACUCAUUGUGUGUUUUAUCUUUUUAGAAUGACUUAUCCCAUCUAUAUUAAUUAUUAAAUCAUGUUUUCAAAAGACUUAUCUGAUUGCAUCCAACUAAAUGGAUUGCAUGGGAGUUAUCUAAAUGGUUUGUUGUCCUUAUCAAUUUAUUUGGUGCGGUGCCGUGAGUUAUAUAAGAGAGGUCAGGGAUUUGUUUAAGUGAAGCCGCAUAUGCAUAUAACCUGGUUUCUUUGAUAAAAUAUUUAGAGGCAGCAGCUUGGUGUUUUGAAUAAGGAAAAAUAUUUUUGAUAUUGCUGCUAUCUUGUGGUUUCAACAGCAUGCGGUUUAAAGAGAAAAUAUUAUUUUCAUGCUGUUUUUCAUUUAAGGUUUUAAUUGAAUGUCAAUUAUGAAAAUGUGCCUUGUGAUUUUCAUAAUUGAUUGUUUUUCAAAUAAACACUUCAUCGUAUAAACAUUCUGCAUGAUCGAGUUAGUAUCUUGCAAAGUUCGAGGAAAAGGUGAUUGACGAUCGCGUUAGUGUCGUGCCACUUCAACUCGAAGACUGAAGAGAGAUCGAGUAGCAAAGCGCGGAGACAAAACUGCCUACUAGUAUGCGUGUCUAGUUGAUGAGUUUUGUAAGUCUUUCUGUACUUAUUUCUCUUAGUGUUUGUCCUGGCUUGGAAGCCCGAGGAUUUUCCCAGUGUUGGGUUUUGCCUCGUUAAAUCCUACAUCAUGUGUGCACUUUUUAUUUAUCGUUUUAAUUGCAUAUGAGUAUGAUAGUUUGAUA